rnacentral:pre_miRNA from 1 species
UGUGGGGUGUGUGGUCCCUCAGCUUGGAUUGCGGGAGGGCGCAGGCCAGGCUAAGGGAUCCCACCAGUGCAUG